GACGAACGCUGGCGGCGUGCUUAACACAUGCAAGUCGAACGGUGAAGGGGUCUGCUUUUGUGGGCCCUGGAUGAGUGGCGAACGGGUGAGUAACACGUGAGUAACCUGCCCCCUUCUUCUGGAUAACCGCAUGAAAGUGUGGCUAAUACGGGAUAUUCUGGGUCUGUCGCAUGAUGGGUCUGGGAAAGAUUGCGCCUUUGGGUGUUUUUGGUGGGGGAUGGGCUCGCGGCCUAUCAGCUUGUUGGUGGGGUGAUGGCCUACCAAGGCGGUGACGGGUAGCCGGGCUGAGAGGGUGGACGGUCACACUGGGACUGAGACACGGCCCAGACUCCCACGGGAGGCAGCAGUGGGGAAUAUUGCACAAUGGGCGCAAGCCUGAUGCAGCGACGCCGCGUGAGGGAUGGAGGCCUUCGGGUUGUAAACCUCUUUCGCCAGUGAAGCAGGCCUGCUCCUUGUGGGUGGGUUGACGGUAGCUGGAUAAGAAGCGCCGGCUAACUACGUG
rnacentral:rRNA from 1 species